rnacentral:rRNA from 1 species
ACGAACGCUGGCGGCAUGCCUAACACAUGCAAGUCGAACGAGAUCUUCGGAUCUAGUGGCGCACGGGUGCGUAACGCGUGGGAAUCUACCCUUGGGUUCGGAAUAACAGUUGGAAACGACUGCUAAUACCGGAUGAUGACGUAAGUCCAAAGAUUUAUCGCCCAAGGAUGAGCCCGCGUAGGAUUAGCUAGUUGGUGAGGUAAAGGCUCACCAAGGCGACGAUCCUUAGCUGGUCUGAGAGGAUGAUCAGCCACACUGGGACUGAGACACGGCCCAGACUCCUACGGGAGGCAGCAGUGGGGAAUAUUGGACAAUGGGCGAAAGCCUGAUCCAGCAAUGCCGCGUGAGUGAUGAAGGCCUUAGGGUUGUAAAGCUCUUUUACCCGAGAUGAUAAUGACAGUAGCGGGAGAAUAAGCUCCGGCUAACUCCGU